UACGUAGGGUGCAAGCGUUGUCCGGAAUUAUUGGGCGUAAAGAGCUCGUAGGCGGUCUGUCGCGUCGGCUGCGAAAACCCGGAGCUCAACUCCGGGCCUGCAGUCGAUACGGGCAGACUGGAGUUCGGCAGGGGAGACUGGAAUUCCUGGUGUAGCGGUGAAAUGCGCAGAUAUCAGGAGGAACACCGGUGGCGAAGGCGGGUCUCUGGGCCGAUACUGACGCUGAGGAGCGAAAGCGUGGGGAGCGAACAGG
rnacentral:rRNA from 1 species